AUCUGGGCGGCGGAAUUCAGGAUGGCUGAGCGGACCUCGUGCACGUUCGGCCGUUUGAUAUUUCCGUCGCCGAUCGCAGACGUCGCGACCUGUUCGUCGUCGGUCCGUGCUCGGAGGAACCGCGAUCGAGUUCGUUGCGUGCGCGUUUCGGCGUGCCACGCGGCGAAGACGCGACUCCCUGGCUGACGACGGACAGUAAGCAAUGGUGUCCGGCGUAGUGUCUCGCACGCUGCGUCGGUGCCGGUCGGCGACGAUUUCUUCGGGCCUCUUUCCGACCCGUCUUGAAACACGGACCAAGGAGUCUAACAUACGCGCGAGUCGCGGGGUAUCGGGCGUGCCACGGUGCGCUCGUUACACUCACGAAACCCGUACGUUGAAGGCGUAAUGAAAGUGAAUAGGGAAGAUGGCGUUCCGAGUCCACGUACCGUGAUCGAGUAUCGCGGCCGGACGCCCGCAUUCCCGGGGCGUCUCAAUGGCUCGUCGCGGAUGCGGACGGUCGUCUUUCGGGGCGGCCGUCGGUCUGCGACGGACCGA
rnacentral:rRNA from 1 species